CGAAAAAUAACGAUACGGGACUCAUCCGAGGCCCCGUAAUCGGAAUGAGUACACUCUAAACCCUUUAACGAGGAUCAAUUGGAGGGCAAGUCUGGUGCCAGCAGCCGCGGUAAUUCCAGCUCCAAUAGCGUAUAUUAAAGUUGUUGCGGUUAAAAAGCUCGUAGUCGAAUUUGUGUCCCGCGCCGCCGGUUCAUCGCUCGCGGUGUCAACUGGCGUGUCCGCGGGACGUCCUGCCGGUGGGCUUAGCUCCUGUGGGCGGCCCAAUUUCAAUCCCACCGCGGUGCUCUUCACUGAGUGUCGAGGUGGGCCGGCACGUUUACUUUGAACAAAUUAGAGUGCUUAAAGCAGGCUAAAACAUCGCCUGAAUACUGUGUGCAUGGAAUAAUGGAAUAGGACCUCGGUUCUAUUUUGUUGGUUUUCGGAACCCCGAGGUAAUGAUUAAUAGGAACGGAUGGGGGCAUUCGUAUUGCGACGUUAGAGGUGAAAUUCUUGGAUCGUCGCAAGACGGACAGAAGCGAAAGCAUUUGCCAAAAACGCUUUCAUUGAUCAAGAACGAAAGUUAGAGGUUCGAAGGCGAUCAGAUACCGCCCUAGUUCUAACCAUAAACGAUGCCAGCUAGCGAUCCGCCGACGUUCCUCCGAUGACUCGGCGGGCAGCUUCCGGGAAACCAAAGCUUUUGGGUUCCGGGGGAAGUAUGGUUGCAAAGCUGAAACUUAAAGGAAUUGACGGAAGGGCACCACCAGGAGUGGAGCCUGCGGCUUAAUUUGACUCAACACGGGAAACCUCACCAGGCCCGGACACCGGAAGGAUUGACAGAUUGAGAG
rnacentral:rRNA from 1 species